CCUACGGGAUGCACCAGUGGGGAAUAUUGCACAAUGGGCGCAAGCCUGAUGCAGCCAUGCCGCGUGUGUGAAGAAGGCCUUCGGGUUGUAAAGCACUUUCAGCGAGGAGAAAGGUGGUGAACUUAAUACGUUCAUCAAUUGACGUUACUCGCAGAAGAAGCACCGGCUAACUCCGUGCCAGCAGCCGCGGUAAUACGGAGGGUGCAAGCGUUAAUCGGAAUUACUGGGCGUAAAGCGCACGCAGGCGGUUUGUUAAGUCAGAUGUGAGAUCCCCGGGCUCAACCUGGGAACUGCAUUUGAAACUGGCAAGCUAGAGUCUCGUAGAGGGGGGUAGAAUUCCAGGUGUAGCGGUGAAAUGCGUAGAGAUCUGGAGGAAUACCGGUGGCGAAGGCGGCCCCCUGGACUAAGACUGACGCUCAGGUGCGAAAGCGUGGGGAGCAAACAGGAUUAGAUACCCCGGUAGUC
rnacentral:rRNA from 1 species